GGGCGCUUAGUGGAGUGGUUACCACGUUGGUCUUCGAAUGUCGACGUCAGUCGACAAAGUGUUUCGAACCAAAGUUCGUCGGUUCGAUCCCGGCAGUGCUCA